CCUACGGGGGGCUGCAGUCGAGAAUCUUCCGCAAUGGACGAAAGUCUGACGGAGCGACGCCGCGUGAUCGAUGAAGUGCUUCGGUAUGUAAAGAUCUUUUAUGAGGGAAGAAGUUUAUUGACGGUACCUCAUGAAUAAGGACCUGCAAAACUCGUGCCAGCAGCAGCGGUAAUACGAGUGGUCCAAGCGUUAUCCGGAAUUAUUGGGCGUAAAGGGUGUGUAGGUGGUUUAGUUAGUCUUUUGUUUAACCCCGGAGCUCAACUUCGGAUCGGCAA
rnacentral:rRNA from 1 species